ensembl:lincRNA
AUGAAUCUGAAAUGUUUUUAUUUAUUAGUAUUAAGCCACCCUGGUGAUUACUUAAUAUAUAAAUAUGCAAUAUAUAUUAUAAAUGACUUACUCUCCUCCCCUAAUAUGGAGGAGCACUCUAAAUCUCACAAUCUUCCAGAGGUUAUUUUCUUCCCUGGUUCUAAAAGAAGUACCAUAUCAUCUCAAAUUUGUAUUCUUGAAGCACAAAAGACCUUUCAAAUCUCUCAGGUCAAAAAAAAAGUCACACAUUUACACCUUUUAUGUCGGUUGAUAUAUUCACUAUGUCCCAAUAGUACUGGGACCUACCACUUUGUUUCCAGCUUCCUAGAAUAUAAUGUAGGCUAUGUAAUACAUUCACAUAUAAAGACUGCCCAGCUACAUCACUUCUCCCCAGAUAACCUGUCAAAACAAAAUAUCAGGGCACACUUUGACCUGAUUGAAGACUCCAGUCUCAGUCUCAACUAACUCCCCAACCAAACAAGCAUUUAAUACAAUUUGAAGAUAAUAUAUACAUUAAAUUCACCUGGUCUUUCUCCUUUGUAGUUUCAUUGUCAGUUUCACAUGGGACUCUGUUGAGAUAAUGAAUCACAGGCCAGUUUUCCAAUACUGGUAACUUGUGGACCAGUAUUUUCCAUGGGCAAAAAUCCACUUCUAAUUUUACCACAAGCAAACUUUAUGUUAGUAUCUUCUGCCAUCAUUCUACAAAUGCGCAGAUAUUCUACAAAAGUGCAGCAGAAGCCACACAUAAACACUAUUAUGAGAAAAGUCAGGUUUCCGUAAUACGGUGUUUUCAUAAUUAUAAAAAGCAACUAUCUCCCCAGUACAAGCAGGAAAAUUUAAACGUAUUUUUUAAAAUCCCUAAACUUUCCAGCACCAGAACUGCAGACCUUGAAAUCAAGUUUCCAGUCAGCGUUGAAAUCUAUCAGGCAAGUGAAAGCUGUCCUUACCAUCAGCAAAAUGAGGUUGGCAUUUCUCGUCACUUACAUGAAACUCUCAAUUCUACAAGUGACCACGUAAAUUUCGGUACGUUUUCUAAACUGAUCCUAUCUAAGAAGUACAGGGACAAUACACAAGCACCUGGACACACUGCCCUGGGAUCAGAAACAAUCCUAUCGGUCCAGUUCCCUAGCACCCGAACACCUCCCCGCUGGCCAGUGGCCCCUUUCCACAUGCUGACGCACUGCCCAGCCCUGCACCGCUGGCGACCAGUGCAAAGUACUAGUCCAGUCUCAGAAACUUUGACUCAGUUAUCAGGAUACUGAACACCCGCGACCUGGAAGAGGGAUGUUUAGCAUGGUCAGGCGGUCAACUUUGAAGCGGGGCAUUCCGUACAGGUAGAGAUCUGCCCAGCACGCAGCCCAUCCCAGCCAGCAAAACCACAAGCAUCAACAGCAGGAGCGGAGCAAAGUGCCUGGCGGAGACAGGGGGAGCGCGAGGGCGAGACGCGGUCACGAACAGAUGCCUGAACGUGGGUAAGAAAAUACUCUCACCACACACCCACCCCCCACCCCCACCCCCGCACGUGGGGCUGCUGGGACAGCGAUCCCGGCAGCAGCCGGCGGCAGUGUCAGGAGGGCACAUCUGGAGGCGAGCGCCCAAGUCACCACCCCCGCCCCCAGCUGAGGGGCGCCGACCCCGCCCGCCC